GAAAUGCGAUAAGUAAUGUGAAUUGCAGAAUUCAGUGAAUCAUCAAUCUUUGAACGCACCUUGCGCUCCUUGGUAUUCCUUGGAGCAUGCCUGUUUGAGUAUCAUGAAAUCUUCAAAGUAAAUCUUUUGUUAACUCAAUUGGUUUCUACUUUGGUAUUGGAGGUCUUUGCAGCUUCACACCUGCUCCUCUUUGUUCAUUAGCUGGAUCUCAGUGUUAUGCUUGGUUCCACUCGGCGUGAUAAGUUAUCUAUCGCUGAGGACACUGUAAAAGGUGGCCAAGGUAAAUGCAGAUGAACCGCUUCUAAUAGUCCAUUGACUUGGACAAUACUUUUAUGAUCUGAUCUCAAAUCAGGUAGGACUACCCGCUGAACUUAAGC
rnacentral:misc_RNA from 1 species